rnacentral:tRNA from 1 species
GGGCUGUUAGCUCAGCUGGCAGAGCAGCGGACUCUUAAUCCGACGGUCGCGGGUUCGAUCCCCACACGGCCCACCA